CAUAUGCAAACCUUUACUUUAUCCAGCCAUUAUGACCAAUGGACUGUGCAUCCGGCUAUUAAUCUUGUCAUAUGUAGGUGGUAUUCUUCAUGCUUUAAUCCAUGAAGGAUUUUUAUUCAGACUAACCUUCUGUAACUCCAACAUAGUACAUCACAUUUACUGUGACACUAUCCCAUUGUCUAAGAUUUCUUGUACUGAUUCUUCUAUUAAUUUUCUAAUGGUUUUUAUUUUCUCAGGUUCAAUUCAGGUAUUCAGCAUUGUGACUAUUCUUGUAUCUUAUACAUUUGUUCUCUUCGCAAUCUUAAAAAAGAAAUCUGAUAAAGGUGUAAGGAAAGCCUUUUCC
rnacentral:lncRNA from 1 species